UCUUGACUAUUUCAGUUCUUCUAGCAGUUUAACUUUGCUAAUUGAAGCUGCAAAAUUAACUUCGACAGCAACAAGGCUAGAAGGUUUUGAUGGAACCGGUCGUAUUGAACCGAGAAAGAGACGCAGCGGACCGCAUAAAACGGAUGCCUAUGUUGUUCGACGACCACCGUGAUGAAGAUUUUUAUGGGCUACCUCGGAAAUACAGUAUUGUCGCUCGGGUAGAAGUUAAAUUCCCGAUUGAACCACAUUAUCGUGAUAGACAACAUUUCAUUUUAUCUGACAUCAAUGGAGCCAAGAUCGAGGCCAUAACAUAUGUGUCCGUGACAGUUAAACAUUUCAACAAUUUGCUACAUGAAAAGCAUGUUUACAAUAUGCAUAACGUAAAGUUUGGUCUUCAUCCGGGG
rnacentral:misc_RNA from 1 species